CACGUAGGGCGCGAGCGUUGUCCGGAAUUAUUGGGCGUAAAGAGCUCGUAGGCGGCCUGUUGCGUCCGCUGUGAAAGCCCGGGGCUUAACCCCGGGUCUGCAGUGGAUACGGGCAGGCUAGAGGUAGGUAGGGGAGAAUGGAAUUCCCGGUGUAGCGGUGAAAUGCGUAGAUAUCGUGAUGAAGACCAGUGGCGAAGGCGAUUCUCUGGGCAGUUCCUGACACUGAGGCACGAAGGCUAGGGGAGCAAACGGG
rnacentral:rRNA from 1 species